rnacentral:rRNA from 1 species
GACGAACGCUGGCGGCGUGCCUAAUACAUGCAAGUAGGACGCAGUUGCGAACGGGUGAGUAACGCGUAGGUAACUACCUAUUAGAGGGGGAUAACUAUUGGAAACGAUAGCUAAUACCGCAUACUAGUAGAUGGACCUGCGUUGUAUUAGCUAGUAGGUAGGGUAAUGGCCUACCUAGGCAACGAUACAUAGCCGACCGUGGAGGGAGACCGGCAGAACUGGGACUGAGACACGGGCCAGACUCCCAAGGGAGGACGCAGUAGGGAAUCUUGGGAAAUGGGGGGAACCCUGACCGAGCAACGCUGCGUGAGUGAGGAGGGUUUUCGGAUCGUAAAGCUCUGUUGUUAAGGAAGCGGUACUUAACCAGAAAGGGACGGCUAACUACGUGCCAGCAGCCGCGGUAAUUC